rnacentral:rRNA from 1 species
CCUACGGGGGGCUGCAGUGGGGAAUAUUGGACAAUGGGGGGAACCCUGAUCCAGCCAUGCCGCGUGUGUGAAGAAGGCCCUCGGGUUGUAAAGCACUUUCAGUGAGGAAGAACGCCUGGUGGUUAAUACCCAUCAGGAAAGACAUCACUCACAGAAGAAGCACCGGCUAACUCCGUGCCAGCAGCCGCGGUAAUACGGAGGGUGCGAGCGUUAAUCGGAAUUACUGGGCGUAAAGCGCGCGUAGGUGGCUUGAUAAGCCGGUUGUGAAAGCCCCGGGCUCAACCUGGGAACGGCAUCCGGAACUGUCAAGCUAGAGUGCAGGAGAGGAAGGUAGAAUUCCCGGUGUAGCGGUGAAAUGUGUAGAGAUCGGGAGGAAUACCAGUGGCGAAGGCGGCCUUCUGGACUGACACUGACACUGAGGUGCGAAAGCGUGGGUAGCAAACAGGAUUAGAUACCCCAGUAGUC